rnacentral:lncRNA from 1 species
UCAUACUUUGAUUAUAACUUUUAACUUUUUAUCUAAAAGGAGUAUAUAGUAGUCAAAAAACACCAAAAAAUUCCCUUGCUAAACUAAAUUGAAAAAUAAACAUGAUUAUAAAAGAAAACAUAAGUAAAAAAAUGUGAACCCCGAAAGACUAAGUUUAUUCAUAGAAAAAAAAAGUUGUAAUGAUUUUGGUUGACAUAUAUUCC